UACGUAGGGGGCAAGCGUUGUCCGGAAUCAUUGGGCGUAAAGCGCGCGUAGGCGGCCCGGUAAGUCCGUUGUGAAAGUCAAAGGCUCAACCUUUGAAUGCCGAUGGAUACUGCAGGGCUAGAGUCCGGAAGAGGCGAGUGGAAUUCCUGGUGUAGCGGUGAAAUGCGCAGAUAUCAGGAGGAACACCGAUGGCGAAGGCAGCUCGCUGGGACGGUACUGACGCUGAGGAGCGAAAGCGUGGGGAGCGAACAGG
rnacentral:rRNA from 1 species